GGAAGGAAGAAGAGGAAGAGGAGGCGAGAGAGCGAGAGAGAGAGAGAGGGAGAGGUAGACACUAGACAGGCAGACAGACAGACAGUGAGGGGCGCUGAGGCCAGGAAAGAUGGCUGCCUGUGUUUUGAGUCCCGUAAAGACCGAGGCACAAAUCCUUCACAAUUCCAUGCUAGAGGAGGACCCGAACGAUAAUUCCGCCACAAAUGAGGAGGAGAAGAUAAAGCCUCGCUGGGGGCCAUACCACAAGGGCGCCAAGGAGCUCGCCAGUCUCUACAGCAGGGGUAAGCGUACCCAGGAGAUCGUGUGUGUGUGCAUCUGUAUCACGCUGAUGGUGGUCAAUCUGUACUUCAUGGCGGUGCACUUCAAGUUUGAGAAGGUCACCUCUAUCUUCCUGGUGGCGCUGGCCGGCAUCUUCACUGCAGACUUUGCCUCGGGCCUGGUGCACUGGAUGGCUGACACCUGGGGCUCUGUGGAGCUGCCCGUGCUGGGAAAGAACUUCAUCCGGCCAUUCCGAGAGCACCACAUUGACCCGACCUCCAUCACGCGACACGACUUCAUAGAGACCAACGGGGACAACUUCAUGCUCACCAUCCCCGGCCUCACCUACAUCACCUGGAACUUCUGCUCCCAAAGUAACGAGGAGGUGCAGAGUAACUACUACUGGUUCGCAUAUCUCUACCUCCUCGCCCUCUUUGUCGCCCUCACUAACCAGAUACACAAGUGGUCUCACACAUAUUUUGGCUUGCCACGCUGGGUCACCAUAUUGCAGGACCUGCACAUCAUCCUUCCCAAGAGGCACCACCGCAUUCACCACGUGGCUCCCCAUGAGACCUACUUCUGUAUAACCACGGGCUGGCUCAAUCUCCCCCUGGAAAAAGUUCGGUUCUGGCCAGCGCUGGAGUACUUGAUAGAGCUGGUCACUGGUUGCCGCCCCAGAGCAGAUGACUUCAAGUGGGCCCAGAAGCGAGAGUGACGUCCGGGUGUGGUGGCGCCACGCGGUAGACACAAGCCACUGCCUCCCACUUCUAUAUGGAGUGUUCGGCUUAGAGAAGUGACGCACAAGGGAUUACACGAAGGGAACAGUAUUGGUAGACAACUGAUGAUACUACUACUACUACUACUACUACUGUUUCUACCGUAGGUACUAUUAC
rnacentral:misc_RNA from 1 species